rnacentral:rRNA from 1 species
UACGGGGGGGGCAAGCGUUGUUCGGAAUCAUUGGGCGUAAAGGGCGUGUAGGCGGUCUGUUAAGUCAUGUGUGAAAUCCCUCGGCUCAACCGGGGAACGACGCAUGAAACUGACAAGCUAGAGUACCAAAGAGGGGGGUGGAAUUCCCGGUGUAGCGGUGAAAUGCGUAGAUAUCGGGAGGAAUACCGAUGGCGAAGGCAGCCCCCUGGGAUAACACUGACGCUCAUGCACGAAAGCGUGGGGAGCAAACAGG